rnacentral:rRNA from 1 species
GACGAACGCUGGCGGCGUGCCUAAUACAUGCAAGUAGAACGCUGAAGAGAGGAGCUUGCUCUUCUUGGAUGAGUUGCGAACGGGUGAGUAACGCGUAGGUAACCUGCCUUGUAGCGGGGGAUAACUAUUGGAAACGAUAGCUAAUACCGCAUAACAAUGGAUGACACAUGUCAUUUAUUUGAAAGGGGCAAUUGCUCCACUACAAGAUGGACCUGCGUUGUAUUAGCUAGUAGGUGAGGUAAUGGCUCACCUAGGCGACGAUACAUAGCCGACCUGAGAGGGUGAUCGGCCACACUGGGACUGAGACACGGCCCAGACUCCUACGGGAGGCAGCAGUAGGGAAUCUUCGGCAAUGGGGGCAACCCUGACCGAGCAACGCCGCGUGAGUGAAGAAGGUUUUCGGAUCGUAAAGCUCUGUUGUAAGUCAAGAACGGGUGUGAGAGUGGAAAGUUCACACUGUGACGGUAGCUUACCAGAAAGGGACGGCUAACUACGUGCCAGCAGCCGCGGUAAUACGUAGGUCCCGAGCGUUGUCCGGAUUUAUUGGGCGUAAAGCGAGCGCAGGCGGUUUGAUAAGUCUGAAGUAAAAGGCUGUGGCUCAACCAUAGUUCGCUUUGGAAACUGUCAAACUUGAGUGCAGAAGGGGAGAGUGGAAUUCCAUGUGUAGCGGUGAAAUGCGUAGAUAUAUGGAGGAACACCGGUGGCGAAAGCUGCUCUCUGGUCUGUAACUGACGCUGAGGCUCGAAAGCGUGGGGAGCGAACAGGAUUAGAUACCCUGGUAGUCCACGCCGUAAACGAUGAGUGCUAGGUGUUGGAUCCUUUCCGGGAUUCAGUGCCGCAGCUAACGCAUUAAGCACUCCGCCUGGGGAGUACGACCGCAAGGUUGAAACUCAAAGGAAUUGACAGAGGCCCGCACAAGCGGUGGAGCAUGUGGUUUAAUUCGAAGCAACGCGAAGAGCCUUACCAGGUCUUGACAUCCCGAUGCUAUUUCUAGAGAUAGAAAGUUACUUCGGUACAUCGGUGACAGGUGGUGCAUGGUUGUCGUCAGCUCGUGUCGUGAGAUGUUGGGUUAAGUCCCGCAACGAGCGCAACCCCUAUUGUUAGUUGCCAUCAUUCAGUUGGGCACUCUAGCGAGACUGCCGGUAAUAAACCGGAGGAAGGUGGGGAUGACGUCAAAUCAUCAUGCCCCUUAUGACCUGGGCUACACACGUGCUACAAUGGUUGGUACAACGAGUUGCGAGUCGGUGACGGCGAGCUAAUCUCUUAAAGCCAAUCUCAGUUCGGAUUGUAGGCUGCAACUCGCCUACAUGAAGUCGGAAUCGCUAGUAAUCGCGGAUCAGCACGCCGCGGUGAAUACGUUCCCGGGCCU